ACACUCCUACGGGAGGCAGCAGUGGGGAAUUUUGGACAAUGGGCGAAAGCCUGAUCCAGCAAUGCCGCGUGUGUGAAGAAGGCCUUCGGGUUGUAAAGCACUUUUGUCCGGAAAGAAAUCCUUGGCUCUAAUACAGUCGGGGGAUGACGGUACCGGAAGAAUAAGCACCGGCUAACUACGUGCCAGCAGCCGCGGUAAUACGUAGGGUGCGAGCGUUAAUCGGAAUUACUGGGCGUAAAGCGUGCGCAGGCGGUUUGCUAAGACCGAUGUGAAAUCCCCGGGCUCAACCUGGGAACUGCAUUGGUGACUGGCAGGCUAGAGUAUGGCAGAGGGGGGUAGAAUUCCACGUGUAGCAGUGAAAUGCGUAGAGAUGUGGAGGAAUACCGAUGGCGAAGGCAGCCCCCUGGGCCAAUACUGACGCUCAUGCACGAAAGCGUGGGGAGCAAACAGGAUGAGAUACCCUAGUAGUCCCAUGAU
rnacentral:rRNA from 1 species